rnacentral:lncRNA from 1 species
CGGAACCCGGCUCCCGUAGGAGUCCGGGUGAAGUCUUCCUUGUGGACGGAACCCGGCUCCCGUAGGAGUCCGGGUGAAGUCUUCCUUGUGGGCGAAACCCGGCUCCCGUAGGAGUCUGGGUGAAGUCUUCUUUGUGGGCGGAACUCGGCUCCCGUAGGAGUCCGGGUGAAGUCUUCCUUGUGGGCAGAACCCGGCUCCCGUGGGAGUCCGGGUGAAGUCUUCCUUGUGGACGGAACCCGGCUCCCGUAGGAGUCUGGGUGAAGUCUUCCUU